UUCGGGUCUAGGCAGAAACAAACUUCUCUAUUACUUUGUCAACAUUCACACUGAAAUCCCGAUGAAUAUGCAGUAAUGCUAUGUAACUUUCGUUGUUCAUUGUUGAUCGUACAUUUGUUUUCAGUUACAUACGUAGUACCGUGACUGAUAGAUCUCAGGGCCAUCAUGGCAUGGUAGCACUUGCGAGAUGUUAUAAACCAGCGUACGUGUUCGGCAUCGAGCGACCUCCCAAUUGAAUUCGUCAAAGUUACAUGCUAGGUCAGUUUCGUAUGUUUCAGACAAUAUUGAGAUUUGUUCGUUUGUGAUAUUUCCUACAACACGAUGAAGCAGAUACAGCACAAAGAAGCGAUUUUCUGAUAACUUGACGCGACUCCACUCUCCAGUUGCCUUAUCACAUGGUCUAUGAACGCAAAAAAUAAUGAGACUUUUCAAUACCCGUUUUGGCGUGGUUGCAGGGUGAUUGGCUCCGGUAGUCUGUCAACCACAUCGCCUCGGCAUAUUUUCAACGAUAUCGAAGGGAUCUGAUAAUUUUAAUGCCGAUUGGUACAUCUCAUUCCAAACUGAAGAACUGUACACUGUAAAAUGUGCUCCAAAACUACAUAUCUUAGACUGAGUAUUACAAAUUCAAAAAUAAAAAUCUUGUAAAAGAUACAAGUAA
rnacentral:lncRNA from 1 species